GGCAUUGCUUACAGGGGUCACAGACAUUCAGAUCAUGGCAGAACUGUCACAGAUGUUACUUUGUGAAAACACAAAGAAUAAUGUGUUUGGAGAGAUCAGUCUUCAAUUAGCUAUAUUUUCUAGGAGCCUACCUUUACUUAGCCUCACAACAUGGGCCUUAGCUUUAGCACUUAAUCUGCACAAAUACCUGGCUUAAGUGUUAUGACUGACUGGCUAUUCAACCAAACCAUACAAAUGACCAAUUCGGUAAGAAAGCAUGAACUUCAGUGUUGAACCAAAUCAACCAACCUCCUCAAUCCACAUGAACAAUGCUAUUCUAGGAGUCUGUGCUAGAAUAAAAUCCUAAUGCAAAGGCUGUCUUAAAAUGCUGAACCCAGAAGAAUUUGGCAUAAAUAAGACAUGGAGUUAGCUGACAUGAGAUAUUACAUUUAUUCCACUGUUGACGAGGACAAAACUGGGCCGCUAUUGUCACAGGCUUGCAGAGCUCAAACCAUUACACCAUUCAGAAGCUGGCUUUGGUAUUACUUCAAGUUAUUCAAAACAGUCACCACUUGCUGAGCCUCUGAUGUCUCAUCUGUUGAAUGGAUUUCAAGAGAGAAGGCUGAAAAGGAAGGUGACUGGAAUAUUAAGAACUGUGAGAUAUUCUGAGGAAACUCUAAUUUGUAAAUUGGUAGAAAUGCCAGUAAUUUGUUGGGAAUUGAAGACCCUCUGUAUUCAAGAGCGAAGCUUGGCAGCUGUGCACUGUUGUUUUAUAAAUCAAUAUUA
rnacentral:lncRNA from 1 species